UACAGAGGGUGCGAGCGUUAAUCGGAAUUACUGGGCGUAAAGGGCGCGUAGGCGGGAUGGCAAGUCGGUCGUGAAAUCCCUCGGCUCAACUGAGGAUCGUCGAUCGAUACUGCCGUUCUUGAGGAUUGCAGAGGAGACUGGAAUUCCCGGUGUAGCGGUGAAAUGUGUAGAGAUCGGGAGGAACACCGGUGGCGAAGGCGGGUCUCUGGGCAAUUCCUGACGCUGAGGCGCGAAAGCGUGGGGAGCAAACGGG
rnacentral:rRNA from 1 species